CCUACGGGAGGCAGCAGUGGGGAAUAUUGCACAAUGGGCGCAAGCCUGAUGCAGCGACGCCGCGUGAGGGAUGACGGCCUUCGGGUUGUAAACCUCUUUCAGUAGGGAAGAAGCGAAAGUGGCGGUACCUGCAGAAGAAGCGCCGGCUAACUACGUGCCAGCAGCCGCGGUAAUACGUAGGGCGCAAGCGUUAUCCGGAAUUAUUGGGCGUAAAGAGCUCGUAGGCGGUUUGUCGCGUCUGCCGUGAAAGUCCGGGGCUCAACUCCGGAUCUGCGGUGGGUACGGGCAGACUAGAGUGAUGUAGGGGAGACUGGAAUUCCUGGUGUAGCGGUGAAAUGCGCAGAUAUCAGGAGGAACACCGAUGGCGAAGGCAGGUCUCUGGGCAUUAACUGACGCUGAGGAGCGAAAGCAUGGGGAGCGAACAGGAUUAGAUACCCUGGUAGUCCAUGCCGUAAACGUUGGGCACUAGGUGUGGGGGACAUUCCACGUUUUCCGCGCCGUAGCUAACGCAUUAAGUGCCCCGCCUGGGGNGUACGGCGCGAGACAACACAAGAAGUAGACGCGNGAGACGNGCGACGCGACGACGAGGGAGAGG
rnacentral:rRNA from 1 species